AUGUAAGCUUAAUCAGUAGUAACUUGCCCAACACUGAUCAUCACCCAUACGACAUGCAUUUCAUUUUAUUAUAACCAGGGUGCGAUUUGUAGUCAGGGAUUGUCCCCCCUUGUGGUCUUGAUAUCGCCACUUUUUCUGCAUGAUUUUAUCACAGUUCAAUGUAAUUCCAUUGAUAUCGCUUACAAUCUGAAACAUAUUCCCCCUUCUGGUUUUCCAGAUCACAAAUCGCACCCUGAUUAUAACCAUUGCAUUACUCUGGUUAUACAGUAGCCCACUACUUUUCAUUACAUGUAAUGAUGUAGAGAUCUAGAGCUAAUAUAAUGCUUCUCCCAGUAGGCCUAGUGGAUCCACACCGUGACCUAAGUGCACUGGACCCUGUUGAUAUGCAGCCACCUCAGCUUCAUGAAGAAACGGCAAGAUUCAGAUGACUACACCGUUUCAGAUCUACUCAUCUCGCUCACCUGUCCACCUGGAUGAAGGAUCACACUCUGCAGCUGAACAUGUCCAAAACCAAGCUCCCAAUCAAAUUGUUCUAGGUUAAUCUCUAACAACAACCUUUUUCUUCCUGCAUUGUGCCUUGCUGAUUUUGUUUGUUUGCACAUGUGACUGAGGUAGCCUGGUUUUACCAGACCACAUUAAUUGCUUCGUAAGUAAUUUUAGGUCUGGAUCCUUCGUGUCCUUGAGCACCAGGGCGGGAGAAGUGAGCUCAGCUCUGAUUUGAAAUGAGCUCUGUCCAAUCGCUGACAAUUGACGUAUGUUAUUCUGCCAAGUGCAUUCACGCCGGUUGUCAGUGUUGCCAGAUGUACGAUAAUUUAUACCAUAAUUUUGUUCUUCCGCCGGUCAGGUAGCGUAUGUCACACUUAGUAUACAAAGCUUGACAUGGUACCAUUAAAGUCCCAAGAUGGAGCAAACAACACAGGUGUUGACAUUAUAUAGCAUGGGCAACUUAUGAUGAGGAGGGCCAUGUUUUUUUCAGCACCAGCAUCAGGGGUUCACAUGACCACAGAUCUGACUCCAAUUUACAGAGUUGGUUGUUCUCUAACUGUCCAUAUUGUUUGGAAGGAAUAUAAUACUCUACCUGUAUACUCAAUACUCUAUUGGGCAGUCAUGGGUAAGCAGUUAGGGUGUCAGACUUGUAGCCCAAAAGUUGCCGGUUCAACUCCCGACCCGCCAGGUUGGUGUGGGAAGUAAUAAACCAGUGCUCGCCCCCAUCCUCCUCCAUGACUGAGUUACCCUGAGCAUGGUACCGUCCCGCCUUGCUUCUUUGGGGCACCAUUGAGGGCUGCCCCCUUGCACGGAUGAGACAUGAAUGCACUUUCGUAGUGUGCAGUGUUCACUUGCGUGCUGUGUCACAAUGACAAUGUGAGUUGGAGUUUCCCAAUUGGGCUUUCACUUUCACGCUUUCACUCUAUUGGCCCACAGUAUAAUUACAACAUAUUGAUUCAGUAAUCGUGUUUAAAAAAUAUGGUCAUUAUUUUCUUAAUUAGGCCUACUGUUUUAUCUAUAGGGCGCAUUGAGUGAGGAGGCGGGCUGCAUGUGGCCCCCGGGCAUCCAUUUGCCCAUCCCUGUUGUAGAGUGAACUACACAGUGAUUGCUGUCUAUAGCAGUGGUUCUUAACCUGGGGUUAGUGUUGAGGUUGUGGCCAAAAUUCUGUUUGAGAACAUUAAAAUUAGGCCAAAUCAGAACCAAAUUAAAAAAUGAUGGUCCCCAUUUAAAGCCAUAAAGAUUUUGAUUGAUGUCUCUUUGUAAUUAUAAAGGAUGAUAUUAAUCACCUGAAUCAUUUUUAGCCUAUUGUUGGACAUUGCAGCCUAAAGGUUGUCGGUUCGACUCCCGACCCACCAGGUUGGUGGGGGCAGUCAUCAAGCAGUGUUCUCCUCCAUGACUGAAGUAUCCUCAGCAUAGUACCGCCCCGCCGCACUCCUCCCUUUCCGGCGCCAUUGUGAUUUGCCCCCUGGCAUGGAUGGGGCAUAAAAUUGAUUGCUUUGUGUGCCGUGGAAUGCUGUGUCACAAUGACACUGGAAGUUGAAGUUACCCAAUUGUGCUUUCACUGGGUUAUUUAAUGGAAGGUACCGUCAUCUAUUACCUAUUAGAAGUAGAAUUUUCCAUAAUUUGGUAUGUUUUUUUUUUUUACUGAUGGUCUUGGAUAGUAAUUAGAACUGUUUUUUGCAGCAACUGGAUAGCUACAAAUCCAUCCAAGUUUUGAAAUUGAAAGGGUGCCCUCCCCUUUCCACAUUUUAUUAAAACUGUUAACCUACUGUUAAAGGAGCAGUCCUGCCAAUUUCAAUAUGCUGUUGUAUUAUUGCUCACACUACCCUUGACUUGUUAGUACAUUGCAUUUUUCGGCUCAGCCCUUUCCGAGAUCUGGGCUAUUCUAAUGGGGGCAGAUUUUGUUUACAUUAAAAACUAUCUACUCCAAAUAUUGAUGCAUAACCUUUUGGAUGAUUUUGGGGGGUAAAAAUCUCAGGUACUGACAAGUCCAGGGUAGUGUGUGAGCAUGACGACUGCAUGUUGAAAUUGGCUGAGCCUUUUAGGAAGCCGGUUGCAUGUAUGUUGGAAACAAUAUUUGACAGCGUCUUAUGUUGGAAACAAUAUUUGACAGCGUCUUAUACUGCAGCGUCUUAUCUCUACUACAAAUUAUGAUGUAAAUGUGGAUUUAUUUUUUAUGACAUGAAUACCAGGCUCUACUGUAUUUGAAGAAACUGACAAUAAAGCUGCCACUUGUUAACAUGGUGUUGCAUUUCUGUCUGUUGAUCUACAAUGACGUGGUUCUCUAGCAACAGCUGAGCCAAUCAGUGCAAAGCUCAUAAACAUUAUGGACAAACCGCUUAAGUUCUCCUGAGAGGUGUUUUUGGGCGCAAUAAAAUGCUUUGAAAUACACCAUCAAAUAGCCUAACUUUCCAUCUAAAAUAAUGUUGCAUACCAGGUCAGAGAACACCAAGGAUUAUGAAAAAAGGUGGACAUGGUAAUGUAAUGUAUGUCCUCUACAAGUCUUCUGUUGUCCAGUCUUGCACUUUAAAUGUCUGUAUGAGCACUGUCUAUGUCCAUACUGUCUAUGUCCAUGUAUAAGUACUGUCUAUGUCUAUACUGUCUAUGUCCUUACCUAGAUUAGUCUAUGUCUGUAUGGGAAAGCAAGAAAUGUAAUUUCAAAUUCUUUGUAUGACCAGUGCAUGUAAAGAAAUUGACAAUAAAACCUACUUGACUUGAC